rnacentral:sRNA from 1 species
GGCAGCCUCCAGAAAGCCGCCGCGAGUAAGGGCAAAUCACCAGGAUUUUCAGCUGAGAAAUUUAAGAAUAAUUGAACCUAACGAGGUGACACACUCAGGAGACACAGGUGUGGAAACAGACAGCAGAAUGCCUCCGAAGGUGACUUCAGAGCUGCUUCGGCAGCUGAGACAAGCCAUGAGGAACUCUGAGUAUGUGACUGAACCGAUCCAGGCCUACAUCAUCCCAUCGGGGGAUGCUCAUCAGGUCCUUUGGCUUGGGAGAAUCCUGGUAACUGCAGAAGGAGCAGCAGCUCCGUACUCAGGCAGGCCUGGCUUUGGAUCCUGACCUACUGUUAACUUAGUGAGUAUAUUGCUCCAUGUGACUGUCGGCGGGCUUUUGUCUCUGGAUUCGAUGGCUCUGCGGGCACAGCCAUCAUCACAGAAGAGCAUGCAGCCAUGUGGACUGACGGGCGCUACUUUCUCCAGGCUGCCAAGCAAAUGGACAGCAAUUGGACACUUAUGAAGAUGGGUCUGAAGGACACACCAACUCAGGAAGACUGGCUGGUGAGUGUGCUUCCUGAAGGAUCCAGGGUUGGUGUGGACCCCUUGAUCAUUCCUACAGAUUAUUGGAAGAAAAUGGCCAAAGUUCUGAGAAGUGCCGGCCACCACCUCAUUCCUGUCAAGGAGAACCUCGUUGACAAAAUCUGGACAGACCGUCCUGAGCGCCCUUGCAAGCCUCUCCUUACACUGGGCCUGGAUUACACAGGCAUCUCCUGGAAGGACAAGGUUGCAGAUCUUCGGUUGAAAAUGGCUGAGAGGAACGUCAUGUGGUUUGUGGUCAC